CGCAUCUGUGCAUGCAGCAUAUCAAUAAGCGGAGGAAAAGAAACUAACAAGGAUUCCCUUAGUAACGGCGAGUGAAGCGGGAAGAGCUCAAAUUUGAAAUCUUCAAGGUUUUACCUUGACGAAUUGUAGUUUAAAGAAGUGUUUUCUGCUGAAGUUUUGGUAAAAGUUCUUUGGAAUAGGACAUCAUAGAGGGUGAGAAUCCCGUAUUUGACCAUUAUUUUCAGCUUUGUGAUACACUUUCAAAGAGUCGGAUUGUUUGGGAAUGCAGUCCAAAAUGGGUGGUAAAUUUCAUCUAAAGCUAAAUAUUGGCGAGAGACCGAUAGCGAACAAGUACCGUGAGGGAAAGAUGAAAAGAACUUUGAAAAGAGAGUUAAACAGUACGUGAAAUUGUCAAAAGGGAAGCGUUUGACACCAGUGUUGUUUUUCUGAAAAUCAAUUAAAGAACUGUUUAUGCUAAGCUGUUUAGACUUUAUCAGCUAUCUGUUUAGUUUUGAGCUUUUCUUUAAUGCACUUUUCAGUUAACAAGUCAACAUCAAUUUCUUUUGCUGUAAAAAAGCUUGAGGAAGGUGGCUUGAGAUUCGUCUUAAGUGUUUAUAGCCUCUUGCCUAUGCAGUCGGAGAGAUUGAGGUCUGCAGCGUAGAUCCUUCGGGGCUAAAUGCAUUUGUGCUAAGUUAUAGCAUUUUAUAGACAACUUGUUGACUAUGAUUCGUCUUGUAGCUUACUCGCUUAUGUUAUUUUACCUACGCUUAGGAUGUUGAUAGUCACAGCGUGUAC
rnacentral:rRNA from 1 species